rnacentral:rRNA from 2 species
CAUAGGUUAAUGAGGCGAACCGGGGGAACUGAAACAUCUAAGUACCCCGAGGAAAAGAAAUCAACCGAGAUUCCCCCAGUAGCGGCGAGCGAACGGGGAGCAGCCCAGAGCCUGAAUCAGUGUGUGUGUUAGUGGAAGCGUCUGGAAAGGCGCGCGAUACAGGGUGACAGCCCCGUACACAAAAAUGCACAUGCUGUGAGCUCGAUGAGUAGGGCGGGACACGUGGUAUCCUGUCUGAAUAUGGGGGGACCAUCCUCCAAGGCUAAAUACUCCUGACUGACCGAUAGUGAACCAGUACCGUGAGGGAAAGGCGAAAAGAACCCCGGCGAGGGGAGUGAAAAAGAACCUGAAACCGUGU